UACGUAGGGGGCAAGCGUUGUCCGGAAUCAUUGGGCGUAAAGCGCGUGUAGGCGGCUUGGUAAGUCUGCUCUGAAAGCCCGGGGCUCAACCCCGGGAGGCGGGUGGAUACUGUCAAGCUCGAGUCCGGAAGAGGAGUGUGGAAUUCCUGGUGUAGCGGUGAAAUGCGUAGAGAUCAGGAGGAACACCCGUGGCGAAGGCGGCUCCCUGGUCCGUCCCUGACGCUGAGACGCGAAAGCGCGGGGAGCGAACGGG
rnacentral:rRNA from 1 species